CCGCUCCAGUCUCCUUACAAUCUGUGUCGCGGAAAGGCGGACCCAGCGAAAGGCACUGGGACUCUUCAGAAGGAUGCAUGAGAAACGAAAUUCGCUAUCAAAUGCUGGUAAUGGAAGAAUUUCACAGUGGUCUCUGUAGUGUGCCACUGCACACAGGAGCCAGAACACUUUAAAAUGACCUUCACAGCGUUUUCUCAGGUGUGAUAUGUCUUGAUUGGCUUCAGUUCUCACAGAAGAAAAAGGUCUGGCAGGCAGGAUCGUGGAAAGGAAAUACGCACAUCUCCUACCCUUGGGCCAUGAAUUGGACUUUAUUCAAGAAUUGGGCUGAAGACAUGGCAACUUGAAAGAUUAAUAUAACAAAAAUGUAGAUGAAAUUACUUUAUAUGAUAGUUCUGGUGGAGGAUAUGGGUGUGGUAAAAAAGCAAGAUCAGUCUAGUCUUGAGUAAGUGAAAAAAGGGAAGUUCAUCUGACAGUUACUGUAGUUUGUGUCUUUUUGUGUGCAAUGUGCUUCAAAUAAAAUAUGCUUUACUGCUGUA